CUGAGCGCAGCGCAAGCUAGCGAGACAGAAGCUAAGCUCAUUGCAACAUGGCAAAUUGAACCUCCCUCACCCUCAUUCAGAUCUGGCGUUUGGAAUUAUUUUGGUCUUCAUGUGAAGUAUGACUCUGAAGAAAAGUAAGAGUCCAGUUACCUUCAGAGGAGUGGCAGCACACACACAUUGAGACCAGGAGGAGAGUGAUGGAGAGGAUCUUCACAGACAUUUCCACCGGUGGUCUGGCUCACUGAUAAGAGUCAAAAUCUAUGAGUUGAUUCGUGUUUGGUUAUUUAUUGUUGUGCAUCAGGCCUCAAGUGAAAAACAAUAGUGACUCAUGAUGCUUCUUAAUGAUCCUGAUGCACAUCCAUUCACAUUUGCAUCAUUUGUUGAUGCUUGGCUGCUUAUUUUUCAUCCAUAAAUCCCCACAACUUAAACUUUUGUUUGUAAUUUAAGCCAUUAAACUCCCACUGAAAACUAAAGCAGUGAGACGCUCUCAUUGUUUCUUUCAUUUAGGAGUAUUUUU
ensembl:lncRNA